CAAAAACAUAGCCAGAUGUUAAUAUAUUUGGUGCUUUYUGCUCAAUGAUAUAUUUAAUAGCCGCAGUACUUUGACUGUGCAAAGGUAGCAUAAUCAAUUGACUUAUAAUUGAAGUCUGGAAUGAAAGGAUUCACGGGAAAUUACUGUAUCAAAUAUUUAAAGUGAAAUUAGGUUUCAAGUGCAAAUGCUUGUAAAUAAUUGUUAGACGAGAAGACCCUAGAAAUUUGUAUAUACGUUUGGUUGGGGCAACAUAGUAGGAGUUAACCUACAAUAGGGACAAGAAAUUAGUUAGCAAGAAUAAAUUACUCUAGGGAUAACAGCAUAAUUUAUAAAAGUUUGUGACCUCGAUGUUGGAUUUGGGAAUUAUAGUCCAGAAGAUUGUUAAUAUUGCUCUGUUCGAGCACAACAC
rnacentral:rRNA from 1 species